AUCCAGUUGACGAGUCACAAAUAGGAUGAAACACGCAUCCUGGAU
rnacentral:hammerhead_ribozyme from 1 species